AUACUUACCUGGCAAUAGGCUUUACAGUGAUCCGCAAGGCCAGGCCCGGGGCGAGACCUUUCCAUUGCACAUCGGUUUGGUUGACCCUGGCGAUCGUCCCAAAUGGACGACUCGGGUGCGCAAUUUAUAAGUGUGGGGACUGCGUUCGCGCCUCCCCUUU